AAUCAACGCUGGCGGCGUGCCUAACACAUGCAAGUCGAGCGAGAAAAGGGGAGCAAUCCUCUGAGUAAAGCGGCGCACGGGUGAGUAACACGUGGGUAAUCUGCCCUGGAGUGGGGAAUAACACCGGGAAACCGGUGCUAAUACCGCAUACGAUAACGAGGUCUGCGGACUUUGUUAUGAAAGGAGCAAUUCGCUCCAGGAGGAGCCCGCGGCUGAUUAGCUAGUUGGUGAGGUAACGGCUCACCAAGGCUUUGAUCAGUAUCCGGUCUG
rnacentral:rRNA from 1 species